rnacentral:misc_RNA from 1 species
AACUUUCUGCAAUGUAUCUCUUGGCUCUCCCAUCGAUUAAGAACGCAGCGAAAUGCGAUAAGUAAUGUGAAUUGCAGAAUUCAGUGAAUCAUCGAAUCUUUGAACGCACCUUGCGCCCUUUGGUAUUCCGAAGGGCAUGCCUGUUUGAGUGUCAUUAAAUUCUCAACCUUGCAAGCUUGCUUGCGAGGCUUGGAUGUGAGGGUUUUUGCUGGCUUCCUUUUAGUUGGAUGGUCUGCUCCCUUUAAAUUCAUUAGUGGGAUCCUUUGUGGAUGGUCACUUGGUGUGAUAAUUAUCUACGCCGUCUGACUCUGAAACAAGACUUGUGGGGACCUGCUUAUAACCGUCUCUUCGGAGACAAUCUUUGACAAUUUGACCUCAAAUCAGGUAGGACUACCCGCUGAACUUAAGCAUAUCAAUAAGCGGAGGCU